rnacentral:rRNA from 1 species
CACGUAAGGGGCAAGCGUUGUUCGGAAUUAUUGGGCGUAAAGGGCGUGUAGGCGGUUUUGUAAGCCUGGUGUAAAAGGUGUACGCUUAACGUACAUAGGUCGCUGGGGACUGCGAGACUAGAGUUUAGGAAGGGGAGCUGGAAUUCCAGGUGUAGGGGUGAAAUCUGUAGAUAUCUGGAAGAACACCAAUGGCGAAGGCAAGCUUCUGGCCAUAGACUGACGCUGAGGCGCGAAAGCGUGGGGAGCAAACAGGAUUAGAUACCCUGGUAGUCCACGCUGUAAACGAUGAUCACUCGUUGUUGGCGAUACACAGUCAGCGGCUAAGCGAAAGUGAUAAGUGAUCCACCUGGGGAGUACGAUCGCAAGGUUGAA